UGAAGCUCAUAAAUCUCACCAUAAUCAAAAUCUAUUUGGCAUACAUACAACGGAUGCACGAAAUAACAGAGAGAGAGAUACAAGACAUGCAGAGGCAGCAAGACUGAGAUGAGGGGUAAAGUGAUUGAAGUCCCAGCACACAAAGCCAUCAGAUCACAAGAAGGUAGGAACAUCCAUGAGAGCAAAACCAAAUCUUGAUGAAGCUUCCUGGAAAGUUGAAACAUGGAAUGCUAAAAGUUGAGGGCUUGUGAGAAGAUGAAA
rnacentral:misc_RNA from 1 species